CCUGGUCAAAAAUAGUGCACUACAUAGCAGCGUUGUGUUUGAGACCACCUAAAGCGAGACCGAUUCAAGACCAAGACCGGAGCAAAUUGAAUCCGAGUCAAGACCAAGUCCGGAGGGAGGUCAGGGGUUCGAGAGCGAGUCAAGAGCAUGUCCGGAGGGAGGUCAGGGGUCCGAGAGCAAGUCAAGACCAUGUCCGGAGGGAGGUCAGGGGUCCGAGACCGAGUCAAGACCAUGUCCGGAGGGAGGUCAGGGGUCCGAGAUCGAGUCAAGACCAUGUCCGGAGGGAGGUCAGGGGUCCGAGACCGAGUCAAGACCAUGUCCGGAGGGAGGUCAGGGGUCCGAGACCGAGUCAAGACCAUGUCCGGAGGGAGGUCAGGGGUCCGAGACCGAGUCAAGACCAUGUCCGGAGGGAGGUCAGGGG
ensembl:lncRNA